rnacentral:lncRNA from 1 species
UCUGGACGGCUUACUGCUGCCACAGAUGGGCCUGUGCAGAGGGUGCAUGUCUCUGAGGAGCGCGGAGGUGUGACUGCCCUGGCUUCACUGUCCUGGUAGGGACAUCUACCACAGCUUGUUCUGCUGUCUGCAUGCUUUGCCAGCCAUCCAGGUCCUGGAUGUCUCAGCUGAGAGUGUAAACUCCUAGUUUUUGACAUAUUUUGGUAUGAAACAAUCAUGGAACCUAAAAUCUGAAGAGAUGUGGAUGAUAUUAUUUUCUUCAGUCUACAGCUUGAGAAGUUAUAUCCCCAAAGAACCGCUUGGAAAGAGCCAGUUUCAGAUAUCACAGAAUCAUAGAAUCACAGAAUGGUUGAGGUUGGAAGGGACCUCUGGAGAUCAUCUAGUCCAACCUCCCUGUUCAAGCAGGGACCUCUAGAGCAUAUUGCCCAGGAACACAUCCAGACGGGUUUUGAAUAUCUCCAGGGAAGGAGACUCCACCACCUCUCUGGGCAACCUGUUCCAGUGCUCUGUCACCCUCACAGUGAAGAAGUUUUUUCUCAGGUUUAGGUGGAACUUCCUGUGGUUCAGUUUGUGCCCGUUGCCUCUUGUCCUGUCACUGGGCACCACGGAGAAGAGACUGGCCUCAUCCUCUUGGCACCUCCCCUUCAGAUGCUUGUAAAUAUUGAUGACAGCGCCUCUCAGUCUUCUCUUCUCCAGGCUGAACAGGCCCAGCUCCCUCAGCCUUUCUUCAUAGGAGAGGUGCUCCAGUCCUCUAAUCAUCUCUGUAGCCCU